CCAGACAAGCAGUCAUCAUCAAGAAUCAAGUCGACAAUCUACUGGCAAAUCCUUUUCAAUCCUUGUUAUAUGAAGAGAAAUUAUAGAUAAAAAUGUAUCGGUGCUCAUCGGCCAUUGGACAUAAACAUUACACAACAAGUUGGGAAUCACAAAUUCAACAAUGUGUGGUUUGGAAAGAAUCAGUGGCUAACUGCAACCGUUGAAAAGCAAUUAUCUAGCCUGCUAUUCAGUAAAGGUGGUCCAAGUCUGGGUUUAAGGAUCUCUUUUCCAAGCUUUAAAGGAUAAACAUUCACAUGCAACACCAUGGGCAAGAAAAGGUUGAAUACAUUGGCCAUGCUGUCAAUCCAGCAUGACUUCUGCAGCGUUCAAAACAACUGGAAACUCGGAACUGGGAAAUCUCAGACUUCCGUGAGUUCAAGAGAACUGGGAACUCCACCGACUUGCAAGGUAGCCUUGUGGUUAGAGCGUUGGGCCAGUAACCGAAAGGUUGCAGGAUCAAAUCCCUGAGCUGACAAGGUAAUUAGGCCCCUCAGCAAGUCAGUUAACUCACUGGGUGCUGUGGAUGUUGAUUAUGGCAGCCCCUUGCACCUCUCUGAUCCAGAGAGUUUGGGUUAAAUGUGGAAGAUGCAUGUAGUUGUACAACUCACUAGGUAUCCCCCUUUCCCUAUUCAAGUGAGCACAACAAGCAGUAAAUGAGGCUGAAUGAACUAUUCGCUGCCAGACAAGGCUCCGCUGAUAGCCAGGUGUAGCGGUGGUAAGUAUUCACUCUAUAGUGCUGAAAAUAAAGCUCUGCUGUUGGGAAAGCUUUAUGUAGGCCCUAACAGUUUGUGGGCACCGUUUGUUACCGUUUUAGUGCAAUUAAUGUUAUGUUUAGGGUUGGGUUGUGUAGUGGCUUUGCUGGCAUGCAUCUAAACAUUUUUUUUUGCCCCACCAAGAUUUAAGCUACAUGCUAAAAUCACCACUGGCUGGGUACACAGUGCAUCUUAAUUAUGUUCAAAGACCUGUGACAGGACACCAUCCUGGGAUCAUCAAACGACAACACAGAGUCAAGCUCCAUCUCACAGGGCCUGUGUCAAAUAAUGAAGAAUCCGUAAGGGGCACACACCGCCGCUCGCCGAUUCUGUCUGCUUCACUUUCUGCUCCGCUUUCUGCAAAUGAAUAAUUUGGUGGUUAUCAAAACAUCUGCACAGGUGGCACAGCGAGGAGUGCUGGAAAUCAAUUGGCUCCGCCUUUUCAGAUAUGAGAGAGAGAGAGAGUGUGAGAGAGAGAGAGAGAGAGAGAGAUAAAAAGGGUAGAUAGAAAGACUACUGUGCAUGAUCUGAGGCUGAUUUCUUCCCUCAAAUUUCACAUAAAACCUGUGAUGUUUCUUCUUCUUUCAGGUCCAUCCCUAUCGAGCUGUGGGAUAAAAGCCAUCAUGCCUGUUUGACCCACCAGGGGCAGUUAUAAACUGGGAACACAAGGCGACAAAUUGCAAUAAUGCUGUGUUCGUAACCAAGUGGGAAGUGGGAAUUUAUACAUACGACUGGGAAAAAUCCACUUGAACAGCCCUCCAACUGUGGGAAACUUGUCUAUCAUCCAGAGCUCCCACAUGCUGACUUCUGAUGUACAAUACAAUGCCCCAUUUUGACAGUCAGACGCACUCUGAAGGCCUCUUGUCAUUGCCAUAAAAUGACUCUGAUUUUUGUGCUAACGUUUUGCAUCUGACAGACAAUACCUGCUGCAGAGAUUUUUACAACCAUUCUUCUGGCUUUUUUUUUUUCAUUCUGAGCUGCUCCGGUGAAGCAAAGGAAGGGCUUUGAGAUUUGUCAGUUAAGAUGAACAUUGCCUGGAGGAGUUUCAGACUAGUUGUAUAAAAUGUGUGAUGGC
rnacentral:lncRNA from 1 species